CGGCUCUCGCAUNGAUGAAAAACGUCCGAAAUGCGAUACUUGGUGUGAAUUGCAGAA
rnacentral:rRNA from 1 species